rnacentral:lncRNA from 1 species
AAUCCGCAACCUUGUUUUGCCGGACGUGUUGGCCGUGUGUGUUUCACGUCUCUGUCUUGAGGUCAAUUUACCGAUUAGUCGUGAUGCGUGGAGUUCAACUUAGUUUCAAAUGUGUCCGAAAACGAAGGAAGCGACUGUGAGCCGUGGAACUACGUCGAAUCUGCUCAACAGCCAAGAUCAUGGCACGGUCGUUUCAAAUCCUUACCAAGUAGAAGUUGGCAUUCACUUUCACCAUCCUGAUGUGAGUGUCCUGAGGCGACACAGAAUGACAGCUUCCUCUGCUGAAGGCCAGGCUUGAUGGAAGACUGCCAAGGCUGUUCAUGUGCAGCCCUUGCCGAACGGAAGCUAGCAUCGACUAGGCCAAUUUGUUCCUGCAUCACCAGCCGACCCGAGGAUCAGGUCCAUGGCAGUCUGCAAAGGUUGUUGAUGGUAAGCUGCUUUAUAUAUACAGCUGUGUAAUAGCAGCUUGUCCUGGAUGACAAUUUGAAAUGCGUGUUUAUGUUUUAGAAAGUGAAAUUCGCAUGGGCAUACUUGCAACGUGAAAGCUUACCAAGCUUGUUCUGAUCUUUCAUCCUUUUGAGAUUUCAGUACAGCCGUUUCUGCUGCACACAUACUGCCUACUUCGGCCAGGUAGAGACUUGAUACAUAUGAAGGUAAGCAGGCGAUUAUCAACUGCUCAGUGCUGUCCGUGGUGACGUUCUCUCCUUAUCAGAUGACUUACCAUGCUUGGUUCGCAAGGCAUUUUAAAAGGAGAGCAAGUCCGCUGGUGCAUGAUGCUCCCAGUACUGAGCAGUCGAUGAUUGCUUGUUCACACUCGUAGAGAUCACGACUGUACUUCAAGCUCGGCAAGUGUGACACUUAUGUGAUUCAGCCUAGCUGUGGUGUGCUGAGCGGUAUAUGUAGAGCUAGUUUACUUGAGCACACACAGUGGCUGUGCGGUAUAAAUAGCGCCCAAUUGGCAACUUUAAUGCAGUCUCGUGUAGUUCCAUUGAUGUUUUCUUUUGGCGUGCAUGAUAUGUGUUCACACUUUUUUUUUUCCUCGCUUAGCGACAGUCCUAGCUGUCUGCAGAGAGUAAGUGUGAAACAUGCCAACAAGCCUCUAAAGCAGUAUGCAGUGCAAUUUUGGUCUAUUGUGCAAGCGAGGAAGAAAACUGCUCGUUUGGCUGUUGAGGCUGCGACAUUGACAUUAGAUAGUUUUAUCUGAGCAUUGUUACGACCCGCUCCACUCAAAAGGAAAGCACCUGCAUGCUCACAAUGCUCAGUCAGCAACGACCAGUCGGAGCGCAGAUGCCGAUGGGGCAGACAACUCCUGCACCCCGAUGACCUCUGCCGACUGAGCGUUACGUGUGUGCCUGGUUACUUUCCUGCUCAGUGGCUGAGCGGAGCGGCCCGUAAAAAGCGUUCAGCUAAAACUUUUUCUGAUAGGGGGUGGCUGACACAUAGAUAUUUCAGGCAGAAGUAUGGCCGACAUUGGCUCACAUCAAUUCUCAGUAUGAGCAGCUCUCAUCGCAAUACGGAAAUUAUGAUUCAAACUUCCUCUACCCCUUUCUGAAGGUUUUGAAGGUGCUCCUAGCAGUAUUGUUGGGCUAGACAUAAUCAUACCCAGAUCCACUCCAAUAAAUUCUAAGAGGAUGAAGUCAGUUGCCACAUAGCUUGUGCAAAGCUAAAUCUGGAACUCACUCCUCCUUCCUGUUUUUCACUGUAUUGAGAACCUUGUCUCAGUAUGUGAUGGGUCUGUGAAGAAAAUUGACCAGAUAAGCAAUAUUACUCAGAAAAUAGAUGUCCCAUACAUAUUAACCUGCACCUACCAGCCACUGUACACCACCUCACUACUGAUUUGUUAUCUUUCUAUUGAUUUGCCUGAACUGUUCGCACCUGUAGAUAUUAAUGAUGAUCACGAGGGAAUGUUUCUUGUCAUAUGAUGUCAUAUGCUUAAAGUAAGUGAGGCUUGCGGGCGUUUUCAAGGGCUAUGGGGCAUGCCGAUGGUAAACACUCAAUGUGAGUUUAUGGUAGACGCUAAUAAUAUAUACUAGUUUCUGGGUAAGUCGCUAUUUUUUAUUUGGUGAAGUCUGCAGAUGAGUUUUAGUCAGGUUGCCAUUAUGUGGGAACACAGGGGCCAUACUCUGCAAUAUAUUAUAUGUUUACAUGUGUCUACCCAAUCUCAUUAGUAUGUGUACAACAAUGAGCUGUAUUCGCGACUCCAACGAUCUAUAGGGGGCGCCACCACCAAACAAACAUGGCGGCUGGGAACAGGUCGCGUCGGCUCGGCCGGGCCGCCUGAACGGGUAGCGCAUUCAAUUUAACAGAUUUUCUUUUGUUUAAUGCCCUAUUUUAUAGGUAUUUCAACUGCGACGGUUAAGUGUAGCCGGUGCAGAUAAACUUGCAGAGCAUAGUUUUGUUUUCCCGGUGCUUUUUGUUCUUUUCAUGUCAAACUUUUGUUUCAGAGGUUUCGUUCAUUACCGAAACUAUGGGCUCCAAAGAGACGGUAAUAGACUCUAAUCAGUUUUGAUCAGGUAAGGAAAGCAGCGAUGACUACAGAAUUGUUCCACCGACAGUAAUUUUCAACUACCUCGCAUCACUCGACCAUACGACUUAUCUGUCGGCGAAAUCGAGCUUUUGUGCGUAUUAAGAAACAGCUCCAGUCGUCUGCUCGAUCAGCAACACAGGCUGCAGGAAAAUUACGAAAAUUAAGCAAGCGCUUCUUGAGCCAAGCUUGAGCUUCUUGAGCCCCACUAAGCAGCUGAUACUCGUAUUUCAACUCGGGUUUUAGUGACAAUCGAAGUCAUUUUGACGAAUGUGCAGGUUAUGCAUUAUAUUAUGUACCAUGUCCCACUAAAGGGAUAUUAGUAUAUUAUUUGGGCUGAAAUAUGAGCUUACUUGACAAGCUAUUAGGUGAACUGCUGAAUCAAAGUAUAUUUGACAGACGGAGAGAUACUACCUAAACUCAGCCAUAUGGUUCUAGCCGGCAGCACGGAGAUGAUUGCGGACAAAUUUGAAGAGAGUCUUCAUCGGAGAUUCACGCAGAACCCCUCUGCAUUAAACUUGACUUCAAAUCCUGAAUGGAGAAGGAGAGUAUCUUUUGUGGCCGGACAACCUGAGCAAUGUAGACGAAUAUUGCUGCUGGCUUCAACGAGGGUAUAUUAUAAAUAUUGGAGGCGCAAUAGAUCAUAAUGUCGUGACAGCUUCUAACUUUGCGAGACGCGUCCCCCAUUUUUUGAAAGCAGACAAUAUCCCUCAUUAAUCGUAUGCAGCGAGGAGGUUUUCGAGAAUCAAGUAGAUGCGAAAUCAGCCCAACUUUUUCGGUGUGGUCCAGAGGCUUUUUCGGUGAAAAGCUGCCAAGAUGAAUAGCCAAUGCACCGACCAGCGUGGGUGGCUCAAUCUUGACGCUAAUCAAACACAGCCAAAUUCAAGAAAAGCAGCUAUUGAACCUUCCCAUUCACUUGACUGCAGCAUUGGGGUUCCCUCCAGUGAAACACCUCGUCUGUUUUACAUACCACUUAUCAAUUACCGAGUAGUUGUCACUUUGAAUGUCAUUCGAGCCAGAGAAGAAAUCAAAACGUUUUUCCUUGAUUCCUCCCCAUCCAAGAAAUUGAAAGCACGCGAUUGUGUGUUGUGGAGUAAACAGGCUUUCAAACACGUGAUAGAAAGAAACAAUUUACUGAGGCUUCAUCACACUGAUGAACACUCAGGCAAACUUGAGAAAUAUUCAGACCUUCAUCAAAUUACAUUGUUUGCCACCGCGUCGACAACACGUGUCCGCGAAAGCCGCCAGAGACGUGGAGAGGCGCAGAGCGACCUGUUCUGGCUGGUUCCUGGUUUUCCCGCUUGGUGCUGUCCGUUUUGCUAGGGUCGCGAAUAUGUCAAGGAUAUGAUUUGUCAUUGUCUCAGUAAGACUAAUGAAUCGCUAUAUUUACCUAAAAAUGCUGGAUCUCUCGCACCUAUCGGGACGAACGGCAAUGUUAAACUACAUGCCAACUACUCCGGCGAGUUUGCCCGUCUCUCGACAUGCCCUUUUGAAUUAAAGUAGAUGAUUUCCACGAGCCUUUCUUUGAAGUGGGCCUUCUUCAUGCAAAUAGCUAACCUUGAUUAUGAGAUAACUGGGCCAUUUUUGCCGCUUGGUUAUCCAGUGUGUUGUAACAGGUGUCCCUUUGGGCAAUCAAAGUAUUUUUGUUUUGAUAUAGUUUCCAGAUUGAAAAUGAAAUGAAGACAAUUAACGCAUUGGUUACAAAAAGUUUUUCUUUUACAUGGGCUUCUUGUCUCAUGCCUCUGGUUUUCUGGCCACUUGAUUAGCUUGGUUUAUCUUUUUAGAGGUGAUACUUACUUAGUUUUUGUGCUUUUGUUUUGGGUGUUUUUCAGGCUGAUUUUCUUUUUUUUUGUUCUCAAUAGUGUGUAUAUAUUGCGCCGUUGAGUUCAAUGAAAAUUUAGUUUCGAGUCAGCGCUCUGUCCGUGUCCUUUACCCUGUCCGUCGUCCUUUUCGCUGUUUUAACCUUUUAAGCGCUUGCCCAGUUUGGAAUUUCUGGAUUAUCAUGUGCAGCUGGUAUUGAUUUACCCUGUCAUUUUACUGUGCUGUUGAUUCUCUUUGCAGGUGCUCUAAUGAAGGACUCCCCUUCCUGGGUGCAUGGUCGACUUGCAUCACAAGCUGCAUGAAAAGUGUGAAGAACAUUUCCUAGGCCCGUGACAUGCAGCCUCUUUCAUCCAGCGCACUCCUCUAGCGACAAGCCCAUGAUGACCAGCCAAGCUGUAGCUUCACUGGAGCUGACAAUAAACAAUUACGGUAACAA